UACGAAGGGGGCUAGCGUUGUUCGGAAUCACUGGGCGUAAAGCGCACGUAGGCGGGCUGCCAAGUCUGGGGUGAAAUCCCGCGGCUCAACCGUGGAACUGCCUCAGAUACUGGCGGCCUCGAGGGAGGUAGGGGCGAGCGGAACUAAUGGUGGAGCGGUGAAAUGCGUUGAUAUCAUUAGGAACUCCGGUGGCGAAGGCGGCUCGCUGGACCUUUUCUGACGCUGAGGCGCGAAAGCUAGGGGAGCAAACGGG
rnacentral:rRNA from 1 species